AACGAACGCUGGCGGCAGGCCUAACACAUGCAAGUCGAGCGAGACCUUCGGGUCUAGCGGCGGACGGGUGAGUAACGCGUGGGAAUAUGCCCUUUGGUACGGAAUAGCCUCGGGAAACUGAGAGUAAUACCGUAUGUGCCCUUCGGGGGAAAGAUUUAUCGCCAAAGGAUUAGCCCGCGUUGGAUUAGGUAGUUGGUGGGGUAAUGGCCUACCAAGCCUACGAUCCAUAGCUGGUUUGAGAGGAUGAUCAGCCACACUGGGACUGAGACACGGCCCAGACUCCUACGGGAGGCAGCAGUGGGGAAUCUUAGACAAUGGGGGCAACCUUGAUCCAGCGACGCCGCGUGGGUGAUGAAGGCCUUCGGGUCGUAAAGCCCUUUUGCCGGGGAAGAUGAUGACGGUACCCGGAGAAGAAGCACCGGCUAACUCUGUGCCAGCCGCCGCCGUAAAAC
rnacentral:rRNA from 1 species